GCGGGUGUAGUUCAGUGGUAGAACAUCAGCUUCCCAAGCUGAAUACGCGGGUCCGAUUCCCGUCACCCGCUCGA
rnacentral:tRNA from 1 species